AAAAGCAGAAGCACAAAAGAGAGAGCUAGCCUAAAACAGACAACAAAAGGAGGGGGAAAAAGGGCCAGCCUCAAGAGGGUGCAUAUCGCAGCAUAUCACAUACUAAUAUUUCUGUGCUAUGAUAGCAUUAAGUAAGCUGUGUCAUCUCAUGUUUGGAGAGAACAGAAGGAAAGAUUAUGCAAGAUGCUUCAGACAUAUUUCUCCUUCUCAUUAUUUGAUUUUUUUUUGGUUGUGAACUUAUGGUGCUUAUUCUCAGUACUGAAAUUUAUUUAAGGGACAAAUUUUUCUCAAUAGAUAUUAUUCUAUACCCGAUCCCACCUAGUGGGAUAAGGCGUUGUUGUUGUUGUUGUUAUUGUAGAUAUUAUUCUAUACACGCAGACCUAGGAUGAAACAACAGAUCACAUACUUAAGGAACAUGACUAUCUGACAAUCAUAC
rnacentral:lncRNA from 1 species